rnacentral:lncRNA from 1 species
AGGGCCUGAGCGCCUGGUUUAGGCCGGAAAUGGUCUAGUUCUCAGAGGUGGUCCGAUCCCUAACCAGUCCCAGGCCCAGCCCCAGCCCAGCACCACCUGGAAGGUUCAAGUACAUGGAGGAGAGGAGUAAGGCGGACUUGGGCGUAUGGAGAAAGGGGUGAAGGGAGAAAGAGGACUUGCGCUCAGGAGGGAGCGUGGCCUACUGGUGGGAAAGCAGGCGUGGCCGCCUGUGCGGGAGGUUGCGGAUCCACAGUGGGCGAGACCAGGCCCCAGCCCCAUCAGGGCGCGGGGUGCGCAGCCAGGUGGUGCUCCAGCAGCGCCCAGUGAGAGGAGACCUUGCGGUAGACGGGGGAAGGGCGCGCGCUCUGGCCGCUGAGUGCGCAUGUGCAUAUUGAGCGAACUCUUCUGCGGGAAGGGCUUGGCGUAGACCGCGCACUGGAAGGCGUGCGCGCAGGUGUGCGUGACCAUGUGCUUGAAACGGCAGUAGCGCAGCGAGAAGGAUCGCCAUCACACGGCGCACUGGUGCGGCUUCUCCCCCGAGUGGAUGAACAUGUGCUUGGUGUCGUUUUUCCUUGAGCUGAACGUCUUGCAACAGUGGCCGCACGCAUAGCUGCCCCAGAUCCCGGAAGAAAAUCUCUCCCACACCACUGUAGUCAGAGAGGCCAGUGGGUGCAUGGAACUCCUCGCACGCGCUGUCAGCAGCAGCAGUGAGGAAGCCGGCAGCACAGUCUGGGAAGGAAGGAGGUGCUUGGCUCUCUCCCGGGCCGCCACCUUCGCCGUCCUCGCCAUCGGUCUCAUCGUCAGUUUCCUCGUCAUCGUUGUCACCUCGGUCGUCAGGGGCCGCGGACAGUGAGGGGUAGGCACCAAGCCCCUCGGCUUUGGCAGGUGUCGGGGGCGCAGGCAGCUGCAAACUCGCGGGCCGGCGCUGCUUACCGCUGUGCGCGGCACCGGGGUGCCCCGGGGGUGCGCAGCCAGCAGGUGGCGCAGGCGGUGACGCAGCUGCUCAGGUGCGAGUGGCGGGGGCACAGGGGUGGGCAGGGGCGCGGGUGCAGAGGUGCUCGCGGGUGCAGAGGAGCGCGUGCGAUAAUCUGCGUGCAUUCGUCGAUAACUGUCUAUGCGAAGCACCGACGCAGCCAUGAGUACCUGCGGGGCUUCACUCUGUGCCACAACGAGCGAACCGCUGUACAGGAGCUCGACUAGCUGUCGCACCGUCUGCACAGGCACCACCGAAGGCACACGGAUCUCAGAGGGGCCGAGCAGCAGCUUGUCUUGGAAGGAGGGCGAGCCGAUUGCCAGCCCGCAGCGGUGCGCACGCAGCGAAGCUUCAUGAAUGCACACAGUCACGUCGCAGAAGUGCCCACCCAGCUUCUGCCCAUUGAGGGUCUCAAGCAGAGAGCGUGAGAAGUUCUGCAGAUGUAUGUGGCGCACAGCCUCUACAGCCGCCGACUCCGACUCCUCUUCAGGCACCAGGCCUGGCCGUGGCCGCCUUCUCACCGACUCCAAGGCAGCACUUCCGGGCGCUUCUCUUUAUUUUUAUACAGUUUUAUUGAGAUAUAAUUUACAUGCUAUCCAGCCCAUCUAUUUCAAGUGUACCAUGCAAGGGGUUUGUAUAUAUUCACAGAGUUGUGUAUCCAUCACCAUCGUUUUAGAACAUUCAUCACUCCAGAAGAAACUACUACCCAUCAGCAGCCACUGCCCAUUUCCCUGAUCUGCCCCGCCCUAGGAAAUCCGUAAUCACUUUCAGUCUAUGGAUUUGCCUAUUCUAGACCAUUCAUAUAAAUGAAGUCACACAACACUGGGUCUUAUGUGACUGGCUUCUAUCAAAGUUUGCAAGGUUCAUUUAUGUUCAUGGUAAACUCUGAUUCUGUUUCAGCCAACCAGCCAAGUAACAAAACAAAUAAGCAAACAGCCAACCAAUCAACCAACAAGCAAGCAAGCAACAAACCAACCAAACAAGCAAGCAAGCAAGCAAGCAACCAACCAACCAACCAAGUAACCGAUCAAACCAACCCUUGGAGCCCUUUCUAAAACUUUGACCUACAACCCUGAAUCCAGAAUCUCUGUUUAGUGGGCCAACAUUAAUAAAUUUAGCCUACUCCAACUUUGUGUUACUUCCACCAUGGUGCCACACACUUAAUAUCCAUUCCCACAUAUAUUCUCCAGAUUUCUUUCUGUAUAAAUUGUGUGUGUGUGUGUGUGUGUGUGUGUAGAAAGAGAGCAUCAACUGAAAAAUCACACAAUUUUAUAAAUUUAGAAAAGAGAGCUUUAUUUCUUAUAAAGGUUUGCAGCCUGCAAGGUGGCCAUUAUGACAGGCUGGGAAGUGUGGCCUACAGCCAAGGCUAGAGGCAGGCCCUUCCAGGGAGGGAAGGAGAGGACAGGAAUUUGAGCUGAAUGAGUUGACUACAUAUACAUACUCAAUAGGAUAUCAGAGGAGCUAUAUCAUUUUAUGAGAAUACUCAUAAAAGAGGUCCUAACACAUGCAUAUUGAAUAAACAUGCAUGUUCAUUCUGGGGUGGAGACUUGACAUUUAAAUGUGUUAUAAUUAGGCCCUACACAUCAAAAAGUGAAGCAGGGAAUGAAGGUACUCAGCCUCUGUAAAGGCACAGCCUCUAAAACUGGCCAGAACCAGUCCAUGGAGGAUGGUCUCUUAUCAGGAGAAAGUUACUGAAAUCAGUCCCUUGUCCAGUGAAAGCUGUCGUUAAGGUCGGUGGGGCAGGAGAUCAGUUACUCAGUGUCUGUGAACUGGGUGAGUUGUAAUUGUUUUAAUCUUGCUUCUCUCAUAGCCAGUGCUUGCUUGGCUGCUAGAGAAAAAUAAAAACUAUGUGGUAGUUAGAAUCUAGUUUAUUCUUUAAGAGUAGGGUACAAGACUUAACCCUUGCCUGGCAUGGCCCUAGGUCCUGUUUAUAAUUUGGGGUCUUAUUGCCACAAAGAGUCUGUUCUGUCAGUCUCAUGAUCUCUAUUUUAACGUUAAUGCUGUUCAGUUGUUGGGUCUAAACCAUAAGAGGGAGAGAGGUACAGGGAGUUAUGUCUGACCUCCUGUCCUGUCAUGGCCAAGAACUGAAUUUUAAGAUUUAUUUGAGGUUCCGUUGGCCAACAGGGGGUCUGUUAAGUCGGGUGGGGGGCUUAGGGUUUCAUUUUUAGUUCUCAAGGGAGAUAAAAUAAUUUAAUCAAUUGGCCCCUGUGACUAUUGGACUAACAUGGCUAUGAUCUGUCAGACAGACUUCAGGCUGGCACCCAGGCAAAAUUCUAUACUGUAGUAAAUGCAUCAUGCACAUUUGUAACAACAUGUACAUAACAAUGUCACAAAAUACUUUCACGGUGACACCUAGAUUAGUGUUUUAUUGAAUAGCUGAUGAUAUAAACUGGCUCAUUUGAUGCCAAGACUGACCAUCACCACCAUACCAAGGUCAUCACUGAUCAGAGGCCUAACCCAAGGAGGGGGUCAUGUGCAGACCCAGCUGUGGGGAGGAAAGAUGCUGCAGAGGAGACGGAUGCCCACAGAGGCCCCUGAGUGGAUACAAUGCUCACUAAGUGGGCUGACCCCACAUUGGACACCGCUGCAUCCAUGUCCAUCACACAACACAGCUGCCGUUUCUUCUGCCUGCUUAUGGGAAAGUCCCCUCUUCUCCUCCGUUUUCUUCUCUUCCUGCCCUAUCACACCGUGCACUUCUCCCUUUCCUUAAAGAACCACCAUCAACUUUAGGAGGAGGGAAAGGGGUGGCUCUGGCAGGAAAAGCCAGAAUCCCCUCUAGCCAGCAGAGAGAGAGAGGAAUGGCUGCAUGUUUUCUCCCCCAGUCCAAGGCACUGGGUCUUGGCUGGGUUGAAGGUUCCAAGCUGCUCUCCUGCUGUGUCGGUGAGUUCUGGUCAACCUGCAACCUCCUGAUAUGGCCAUUGCAGUUCAUCGAGUCUUCAGGGACUCCCCAUGGCCUGGAGUACUUUGCCUUGCUUACACGGGAGAGGAGAAUGGAUUUAUAGAGAACAUCAUCUAAAUCCAACUUGACCAUUGUGUGGCCACACUUGCUAGAUUGCUAUAGUCUAAAUCUAGCAUUGUAGAAAGACGGGGGAGCUUGGAGCUGCACAAACCCAGGUCUGGAACUGGCUCCUUACCUUGGAAGGUGAAUGAUCCUGCCAGGACUCUUAGCCUCCCUGGGUCUCAAUUUCUUUAUCUGUUUCAUGGGAAUGAGGAUCUCUGCUGGGUGGUUGGGUGAUGUGGGGGCUGUGUGAAAACAGCUUGUCAAUACAAGCCAAAAUAGAAAUAUUUCUCCACAGAGUAUGAAGGUCAAAUGAGAGAAUACAUUUAAAUUAAAUGGAAAAUUAAAAUGGUAAAAAAUGCAAAGCUGUAUUGAAAGUUCCGAGCUUCUCUAUAAGGAGCUUUUUGACUAUGUAAGAAUCCUGUACUCGUUCCCCCUAAAUAUAAAAAAAAGUUGAAGGAGGCAGAAGGGAGAGUGAUGCACGAUGGGCAAGGACUUCACCUGCUGUUGCUGGCUUUGAGGAUGGAGGAAGGAGGCCACAAACCUAGAAGCUGGAGCCCCUAGAAGCUAGAAAAGGCAGGGACCCGAUUCUUUCCUUGAGCCUCCAGAAGGGACACAGCCCCGCCAGCACCUUGACUUUAGCCUGGUGAGAUCCUCUUAGGACUUUUGGCAAUCAGAACUAUAAGACAGAAAUGGAAGCCACUGAGUCUGUAGCUGUUUGUUGCAGCAGCAAUAGAAAACUAAUGCAGGGCCCAAGAAAUCACUGGUGAUGAGAUCGGGAAAGUGGGCUCAGGAGGUCUGGAUCUGUGAUGAGAUGGGGAAAGUGGGCUCAAGAGGUCUGGAUCUGUGGUGAGAUGGGGGAAGUGGGCUCAGGAGGUCUGGAUCUGUGAUGAGAUGGGGAAAGUGGGCUCAGGAGGUCUGGAUCUGUGAUGAGAUGGGGAAAGUGGGCUCAGGAGGUCUGGAUCUGUGAUGAGAUGGGGGAAGUGGGCUCAGGAGGUCUGGAUCUGUGAUGAGAUGGGGGAAGUGGGCUCAGGAGGUCUGGAUCUGUGAUGAGAUGGGGGAAGUGGGCUCAGGAGGUCUGGAUCUGUGAUGAGAUGGGGAAAGUGGGCUCAGGAGGUCUGGAUCUGUGAUGAGAUGGGGGAAGUGGGCUCAGGAGGUCUGGAUCUGUGAUGAGAUGGGGAAAGUGGGCUCAGGAGGUCUGGAUCUGUGAUGAGAUCGGGAAAGUGGGCUCAAGAGGUCUGGAUCUGUGGUGAGAUGGGGGAAGUGGGCUCAGGAGGUCUGGAUCUGUGAUGAGAUGGGGAAAGUGGGCUCAGGAGGUCUGGAUCUGUGAUGAGAUGGGGAAAGUGGGCUCAGGAGGUCUGGAUCUGGGGUGGGGAUCUGGAGUGGAAGGGGAAUUCAUUUGUUCAUUGUCUAUCCUUUUGUAUUGAUUGAAUUUUUUAUAUAUAUAUGUGAAUUUUCACAAUAAAAUUUUUUUCCAAAAUAAAAUAAACAAAAGGGGCUUUUUGC